CGUAGGCAGCGAGCGUUGUUCGGAGUUACUGGGCGUAAAGAGUGCGUAGGCGGUUUUCUAAGUUUGGUGUGAAAUCUCCCGGCUCAACUGGGAGGGUGCGCCGAAGACUGGAAGGCUUGAGUAUGGGAGAGGUAAGCGGAAUUCCUGGUGUAGCGGUGAAAUGCGUAGAUAUCAGGAGGAACACCUGCGGUGUAGACGGCUUACUGGACCAUAACUGACGCUGAGGCACGAAAGCGUGGGUAGCAAACAGG
rnacentral:rRNA from 1 species